UAGCAGGUUGAAUUUUUUCCAAACUUCAGCUUGCAGCCUACAGCAUCUUGGAUCCUCAGCUACUUCAGCAGAAACUCAAGAGUAAUUCAGUGUGAACAGCAACGGUGGUGGAGAGGAGCCACACUUUCCUCACCUUUAAUUGUAAAGUAAUUCAGAAAAAGAAAGAAAUUCUACUAGUCAUUAUGUGCUUUAUUUAAAUGGGAAAACAACAACUGCAAGCACCCAAUGACUUCAGUGAGACUAGCAUUGAACAGUGAGAGGUUUGACACAAAGGAAACAAAAGCUGUGAAAGAAAAGGAAGCGAUGAAUGGACCCAGAUCUCCAGGGAAAGGCAUGGAGGUUUGAGGCAUGAAGACUCUAAACAGCCAAAUUAUGUCUUGGGCACAGAUUCUAUUAUUCAGUGGUAACCCAUCAGUCUAACUCUCUGUGAAAAGUAAGUCCCUUCCUUUGUAUUGCCUGGUCAGUCAUUCAGUUCUGAUUG
rnacentral:lncRNA from 1 species